AUAACGCUGUGGUAUAAUGUGCUGCAUGACAGUGGAUAUCUCUCCGGAAAACCCGGGGGUCUAAUACCGAUAUAAUGUUGUGAACCGCGUGGUCUCUUAUUUGAAGUGGCUUUUCGGCUGUCAUUUAUGAAUGGACCCCCGUCCCAUUACCUAUUUGGGGAGGUAACGGCUCCCCAGGGCAACGAUGCUUACCCAACCUGAAAGGGUGACCGCCCACACGGGAACUGAAACACGGCCCAAACUCCUACGGGAGGCACCAUUAGGAAAUCUUCCGCAUGGGACAAAAUUCUGACGAACCACCCCCCCGUGAGUGAUGAAGGUUUUCGAGUCUUAAAACUCUGUUGUUAGGAAAAAACAAUUGCUAUUUGAAUAAGCUGGCCCCUUGACGGUACCUAACCAAAAACCCACGGCUAACUACGUGCCACCACCCGCGGUAAUACGUAGGUGGCAAGCGUUAUCCGGAAUUAUUGGGCGUAAAGCGCGCGCAGGUGGUUUCUUAAGUCUGAUGUGAAACCCCCCGGCUCACCCGUGAAGGUUCAUUGAAAACUGGGAAACUUGAGUGCAAAAGAGGAAAGUGAAAUUCCAUGUGUAGCGGUGAAGUGCUUAUAGAUAUGUAGGAACACCAGUGUCAAAGGCAACUUUCUGGUCUGAACCUGACACUGAUGGCUCGAAACCGUGUCGAGCAAACAGGAUUAAUAUACCCUGGUAGUCCACCCCUUACCCCAGGAGUGCCAACCUGAUAGAGGGUUUCCUCCCCUUUUAGUGCUGAAGUAUACCGCUUUACGCCUUCCGCCCUGGGGAAUUACCGCCCUCCAAACUGAAACCUCCAAGGGAA
rnacentral:rRNA from 1 species